rnacentral:RNase_P_RNA from 1 species
GUAAGACAUGCAAUCGCUGCUAGACUUAGAUCUAGGAGAGGAAAGUCGGAGCUCCAUAGGGCAGGGUGCUGGAUAACGUCCAGUCAAGGCGACUUGAAGGAAAGUGCAACAGAGAGAUACCGCCUAAGUUAAAAGACACUCUAAAGGUAUGAUUUAGAUGUGUAAUUAUAUAUUUUAAUUUAUUAAGAUAUAUUGCUUAGGUAAGGGUGGAAAGGCGAGGUAAGAGCUCACCAGCAUCAUGGUGACAUGAUGGCUAUGUAAACCCCACCUGGAGCAAGGUCGAAUAGGGAAACAUAUUGGAGUUGCCCGCUCCGUUUCCGGGUGUACCGCUUGAGCUUAUUGGUAACAGUAAGCCUAGAUAGAUGAUUGCUUAAUACAGAACUCCGCUUACGGCUUAUCUCG